rnacentral:rRNA from 1 species
GUGGGGAAUAUUGGACAAUGGGCGAAAGCCUGAUCCAGCCAUGCCGCGUGUGUGAAGAAGGUCUUCGGAUUGUAAAGCACUUUAAGCGAGGAGGAGGCUACCGAGAUUAAUACUCUUGGAUAGUGGACGUUACUCGCAGAAUAAGCACCGGCUAACUCUGUGCCAGCAGCCGCGGUAAUACAGAGGGUGCAAGCGUUAAUCGGAUUUACUGGGCGUAAAGCGCGCGUAGGUGGCCAAUUAAGUCAAAUGUGAAAUCCCCGAGCUUAACUUGGGAAUUGCAUUCGAUACUGGUUGGCUAGAGUAUGGGAGAGGAUGGUAGAAUUCCAGGUGUAGCGGUGAAAUGCGUAGAGAUCUGGAGGAAUACCGAUGGCGAAGGCAGCCAUCUGGCCUAAUACUGACACUGAGGUGCGAAAGCAUGGGGAGCAAACAGGAUUAGAAACCCUUGUAGUCC